UGGGAACCUCAUCUCGAGGGUGUUCUCUGAACUGUAGCAAAUCACUGCAGCACUGUUAGAAGAGUCCCCAUUUAGGAUAAAUUCUCUGACCCAGAGCGGGUGGAAUACUACAUUCGUGGAAUAAUUUAGGAACUAGUCCAGCAGGAUAUUAACAGACCAAAAUUGCACUAUAUCGUGGGCUCGUUCAAAUAGAAAAGAAGGGAUAGCACCCAUCAAAUUGAAAGGAAAAGUAUUUGCAUGUACUGACCUUAGAAUUGAGCCUUGAGUAUUAGAAUUUUGUCAUGGGAAACCCAUCACAAUCCUUCGGUAGUUCUCUUAGGGGGAUUUAUUAAUAUUAGUUAAGUAUAUGGGCCUUAAGUCGACCUUUGGCGGAAGGUAUUUUUGCAGUUGAUUUAAUAGAAUGAGCUAUUAAUUAAUUAAUUUUACAUUUUGAGCCUGUGCGUCCUACCAGUUUUUUACAGGAUAAAAGUGGACAAAAUAGCAAGGGCUCCCUUUAGUUUGGUUUGUUACUAUUGAUCAGUUUGUUCACUGAAAUGUGUGAAAAUACACUUAAGUCAUUUAAAUUUAUUUUGAUCUAUCGAAGUCCAAAAUGAAUUGAUUGAGUCAGAACUGCCUCAAUGGAUGGAGAAUUUCUAUCCUUUCAACUGUGGCUGCCUACUUAUUUAUUUAUACUAGUAAAAGAGUUUUGUUCCGCUGAAGAUGUGAGUAGAUUAUAUUUUUAUACACGUUUAAAAUCAGAUAGUAGAUAUUUUAAUAGCCCGCAAGUUGAUGAUCAUCCAGUGAGAGCUGUCGCUGGAAAAC
rnacentral:lncRNA from 1 species